GAUGAACGCUAGCUACAGGCUUAACACAUGCAAGUCGCGGGGCAGCAUGGGGGUUGCUUGCAAUCCCCGAUGGCGACCGGCGCACGGGUGAGUAACGCGUAUCCAACCUGCCCUUCACCACGGGAUAACCCGGCGAAAGUCGGACUAAUACCGUAUGUUGUCCAUUGACGGCAUCCGAUUUGGACGAAAGGUUUGGCGGUGAAGGAUGGGGAUGCGUCCGAUUAGCUGGACGGCGGGGUGACGGCCCACCGUGGCGACGAUCGGUAGGGGUUCUGAGAGGAAGGUCCCCCACACUGGAACUGAGACACGGUCCAGACUCCUACGGGAGGCAGCAGUGAGGAAUAUUGGUCAAUGGGCGUAAGCCUGAACCAGCCAAGUAGCGUGCAGGAGGACGGCCCUAUGGGUUGUAAACCGCUUUUAUGCGGGGAUAAAGUGGCCCACGUGUGGGUUUUUGCAGGUACCGCAUGAAUAAGGACCGGCUAAUUCCGUG
rnacentral:rRNA from 1 species